AAUGAACGCUGGCGGCGUGCCUAACACAUGCAAGUCGUACGAGAAAGGGGCUUCGGCCCUGAGUAGAGUGGCGCACGGGUGAGUAACGCGUGGGUAAUCUACCCUUGGAUUUGGGAUAACUCUGCGAAAGUGGAGCUAAUACCGGAUAGUCUGGCUUUUAAUAGGAGUCGGUAAAGGAUGCCUCUGCAUAUGCAUUCGUCCGAGGAUGAGCCCGCGUCUCAUUAGCUAGUUGGUAGGGUAAUGGCCUACCAAGGCAACGAUGAGUAGCUGGUCUGAGAGGAUGAUCAGCCACACUGGAACUGAAACACGGUCCAGACUCCUACGGGAGGCAGCAGUGGGGAAUAUUGCGCAAUGGGCGAAAGCCUGAUGCAGCGACGCCGCGUGAGGGAUGACGGCCUCGGUUGG
rnacentral:rRNA from 1 species